UACGGAGGGUGCGAGCGUUGUCCGGAAUCAUUGGGCGUAAAGGGCGCGUAGGUGGCGGGACAAGCGUGCGGUGAAAUCCUCCAGCUCAACUGGAGAAUUGCCUUCGAUACUGGUUGUCUUGAGGGGGGGUAGGGGCAGACGGAACUUCCGGUGUAGCGGUGAAAUGCGUAGAUAUCGGAAGGAACAUCAGUGGCGAAAAGCGGCUUCCUGGACCAGUACCCGACGUUCAGGCACGAAAGCGUGGGGAGCAAACAGGA
rnacentral:rRNA from 1 species